rnacentral:rRNA from 1 species
UCAGGCCUAACACAUGCAAGUCGAGCGGAAACGAGUUAUCUGAACCUUCGGGGAACGAUAACGGCGUCGAGCGGCGGACGGGUGAGUAACGCCUAGGAAAUUGCCCUGAUGUGGGGGAUAACCAUUGGAAACGAUGGCUAAUACCGCAUGAUGCCUACGGGCCAAAGAGGGGGACCUUCGGGCCUCUCGCGUCAGGAUAUGCCUAGGUGGGAUUAGCUAGUUGGUGAGGUAAGGGCUCACCAAGGCGACGAUCCCUAGCUGGUCUGAGAGGAUGAUCAGCCACACUGGAACUGAGACACGGUCCAGACUCCUACGGGAGGCAGCAGUGGGGAAUAUUGCACAAUGGGCGCAAGCCUGAUGCAGCCAUGCCGCGUGUGUGAAGAAGGCCUUCGGGUUGUAAAGCACUUUCAGUCGUGAGGAAGGUAGUGUAGUUAAUAGCUGCAUUAUUUGACGUUAGCAACAGAAGAAGCACCGGCUAACUCCGUGCCAGCAGCCGCGGUAAUACGGAGGGUGCGAGCGUUAGUCGGAAUUACUGGGCGUAAAGCGCAUGCAGGUGGUUUGUUAAGUCAGAUGUGAAAGCCCGGGGCUCAACCUCGGAAUAGCAUUUGAGACUGGCAGACUAGAGUACUGUAGAGGGGGGUAGAAUUUCA